rnacentral:rRNA from 1 species
GUGAACGCUGGCGGCGUGGAUAAGGCAUGCAAGUCACGGGGUCCCGAGAGCAAUCGAGGGAAACCGGCAGACGAGGUAGUAAUACGUAGGUACGCACCCCACAGUCUGGCAUAGCUCGUCGAAAGACGGGGUAAUUCCAGAUAGUCCCGAAAGGGUAAAGCAGCAAUGCGCUGCGGGAGCGGCCUGCGGGCUAUCAGCUAGUUGGUAGGGUAACGGCCUACCAAGGCGAUGACGGCUAGGGGAGCUGAGAGGCUGACCCCCACCGAUAGCACUGAGACACGGGCUAUACACCUACGGGUGGCUGCAGCCGAGAAUAUUCCGCAAUGGGCGAAAGCCUGACGGAGCGACGCCGCGUGAUGGACGAAGUCCUUCGGGACGUAAACAUCUUUUAUGAGGGAGGAAGUUUAUUGACUGUACCUCAUGAAUAAGGGGCUCCUAAACUCGU